GGGGGCGACUUGGUUUCAGGACGCGUCCGCGUCGAAAGUUUUUGCUUUUGACGCUGUGGCACAUCCAAGCUUAGUAGCACACCCAACCUUAUUGGGGGCGACUUGGUUUCGACGCGGGUAUCAAAGUUUGCGGUGCAUGCCGAGAGGGUAGUGACUCUCGUAAAACAAUCGCUGUAACUUUUUAUAGUUGCCAACGACGAAAACUACGCACUAGCGGCCUAAAAAACCCGCUUACGUCCAUGAUUCGUUUCUUGCUAGGAGAAAUGGACGGCAAAACAGCAAGAUCGCGUGGAUGCCUCGCCCGGGGCUGAACCGUUAAAACCAAUCGGGAUCGCUGAUCGCACCCUGACCGUCGGGUCGCAGGAAGCUAAAUUAAUAGACGGACUCUAAGCAUGUAGAGCCAAUAAUGGCGAGCCAGCGGACGCGGGUUCAACUCCCGCCGCCUCCACCA
rnacentral:tmRNA from 1 species